GUGGGGAAUAUUGGUCAAUGGACGGAAGUCUGAACCAGCCAUGCCGCGUGCAGGAUUAAGGCCCUAUGGGUCGUAAACUGCUUUUGUGGUGGAGCAAUAAGACGUACGUGUACGUCGAUGAGAGUACAUCACGAAUAAGCAUCGGCUAACUCCGUGCCAGCAGCCGCGGUAAUACGGAGGAUGCAAGCGUUAUCCGGAUUUAUUGGGUUUAAAGGGUGCGUAGGCUGUUCGUCAAGUCAGAGGUGAAAUACCUGAGCCUAACUCAGGAACUGCCUUUGAUACUGGCGAGCUGGAAUACGGAUGCCGUGGGAGGAAUGAGUAGUGUAGCGGUGAAAUGCAUAGAUAUUACUCAGAACACCGAUUGCGAAGGCAUCUCACGAAUCCGUCAUUGACGCUGAGGCACGAAAGCGUGGGGAUCAAACAGG
rnacentral:rRNA from 1 species